GCCCUAACAAGGAAUCAUACUACUAGACCAUCAGGCC
rnacentral:tRNA from 1 species